rnacentral:rRNA from 1 species
CAUGGCUCCUUGAAAAUAAUAUAUAGGGAGUCGGACCUGCCCAGUGAAGUAUUUUAAACGGCCGCGGUACUCUGACCGUGCAAAGGUAGCAUAAUCAUUUGCCCUAUAAUUGAGGGCUAGUAUGAAUGGUUUGACAAGAAUAAAGCUGUCUCCACGUAAUUAUAUAGAAUUUUAUUUUUAGGUGAAGAAGCCUAAAUUACAUUAAAAGACAAGAAGACCCUAUCGAGCUUUAAAGAAUUUGGUAAGAUAAUAUUAAAUAUUAAUUAAAAUAAAUUUUAUUAAAAAUUUUGGUUGGGGCGACAAAGGAACAGAUGAAGCUUCUUUUAAUAAUAAUGAUACUCACCUGUAAUGAUCCAGAAAUUUCUGAUUAAAGAAAUUAGUUACCGUAGGGAUAACAGCAUUAUCUUUUUUGAGAGCUCAUAUCGAAAAAAAGGUUUGUGACCUCGAUGUUGGACCAGGAUAUCCAGAAGAUGCAGAAGUCUUCAAAGGUUGGUCUGUUCGACCAUUAAAAUCCUACGUGAUCUGAGUUCAGACCGGCGUGAGCCAGGUCAGUUUCUAUCUUUUAUUAACAAAGUGAGUUUAGUACGAAAGGACCAACUUACGAUAUUACACAUGAUAUUAAUUUGUUGAUUAAAUAUAAUAUAAAAAUAAGUAAAAUUAAU